CUUUGAAUUAAUUUCAGGCAUUCGGAAGCAGACAGGAAAGAAUUUGGGGGUCAGGAAUGUCCCCCUGCUGCCUCUCCAAUCCCACCAAGUAGUCAGCUACCUUCCUUGUUACCUAUGUGUAGAGGUGAUGGAUACAAAAUCAGAAAUGUGCUUUUGGAAAUGGAGAAUUAGGGAGCUUGAUUUGCCAUAUGUGUGUGUGUGUGUGUGUGUGUGUGUGUGUGUGUGUGUGUGUGUAUUAUGAGGUUUUUAUCUUUCUUUUCUCCUUCCUUACUUCCCUUCCUUCCUUCCUUUCUCCCUUUCUUUCUUUUUUCUUCCUUUCCUUCUUUUUAUUUCUCACUCUUUUCUUUCUUUCCUUCCUUCCUUCUUUCCUUUCUUCCUUCCCUUUCUUUCUUUCUUUCUUUCUUUCUUUCUUUCUUUCUUUCUUUCUUUCUUUCUUUCUUUCUUUCUUUCUUUCUUUCUUCCUUCCUUCCUUCCUUCCUUUCUUUCUCUCUUUCUUUUGUUCCUUCCUUCCUUCCUUCCUUCCUUCCUUCCUUCCUUCCUUCCCUUUCCUUCCUUCCUUCCUUCCUUCCUUCCUUCUUUCUCAAAGGGAAUGAGAGAGGCAGGAGAUAGAAAUUAAAUGCUGUCUCUAAAAAAUACACUC
rnacentral:lncRNA from 1 species